rnacentral:rRNA from 1 species
UACGUAGGGGGCAAGCGUUGUCCGGAAUCAUUGGGCGUAAAGCGCGUGUAGGCGGCCCGAUAAGUCCGCUGUGAAAGUCCAGGGCUCAACCCUGGAAUGCCGGUGGAUACUGUCGGGCUCGAGUCCGGAAGAGGCGAGUGGAAUACCUGGUGUAGCGGUGAAAUGCGCAGAUAUCAGGAGGAACACCAAUGGCGAAGGCAGCUCGCUGGGACGGUACUGACGCUGAGACGCGAAAGCGUGGGGAGCAAACAGG